AGGAUUUAGGAUUUGGAUUAGGAUUUGAUUAGAGUUUGAUUUAGGAUUUAGGGUUUGGUUUAGGAUUUGGUUAAGAUUUGGUUGGAGUUUGAUUUAAGGUUUGUUUAGGAUUUGAUUUAGGAUUUAGGAUUUUAUUAGGAUUUAAGAUUUAAUUAGUUUUGGCCUUAAGUUUGAAUGAUGUUCAAUAGGAUUUUAACUAGAAUUAAAUUAAGAUUGAAUUGAGAUGUAUUUGAGUGAUAUUUGUGAUCCUUCUAAUAUUUCUUUAAGAAUUCUUAUUGUUUGUUUGAAAUUUCUUUGAGGUUUUUUUGAAUUUGAUUAAGCUUGCUUAACAUUAUUAUGGUCUAAUUAGAGGAUUGUUAGUAUUCUAUUAGAAUUAGAAUUUUGUUAUUAUAAUUUCCAUUUUUCCUUCUACAGCUAGGUGCCUGGAGCAUUCUCAAGUAAGACUUCACGUAUUACGACAAUGGAAUUCAAUAUCUUCACUUAACACAAUACAAUUCGAUAAUCUUAAUUUUCAAGGUCACAGAUUUUUUUCAAAAUGGUCAGUCUAAAGUCAUAUUCCACAAUAUUCUAAUCACAGUUUCAACAAUACUUCUCUCAAUCAUAAUUCUUCAUAAGAAAAUAAUAAAAGCAAAGAAAAUAAAGAGGUAGCACCAAGCUUAUUCCAGCUUAUGACUAUUAUAGUCUGGCCCUGAUUUCCCUUUUUCAACCGCUUUAUCCUACCAAAAAAUAGGUCAUCAACCACCAGAUUUCAAAGGUUAUGAACCUUUGAAUUCUUAACCAUUUGUUUCACUAACAACCUAUUAUUACCAACUAAACUGCCUAACCAUAAGUCUAAUUCUCAAGAUUAUCAAUAAUCAACCAGUAUCUUAUCACAAAAUUUAUUUACAUAUUCUACAUAGAUCCACUCUUAAUUGUGCAGU
rnacentral:lncRNA from 1 species